rnacentral:rRNA from 1 species
AUGGACGGACCACGAACCAAGAGUUGGAGGGCGAGCGAUCUCACACUACUGCGCUGGCACCGGCGCGUACCAGCGGCCGACCUCUUCGUCAACGUUGUCCUCCGCCUUGUGCAGAGCGGCGUGCACCACGACGAGCACGAAGCCGAUGAGCAGCGACGUGAGGAUGUUGGUGGUGGCGCCGGUGAGCAGCAGGAGGAUGAGCGUGACAGCAGCGAGCACGGCGAGGACCACGCCGUCGCCGACGACGCGGCCGAAGAGGACGAUGGGCUCGUCGCGGAGGAAGUAGAGGACGAGCCAGCCGACCAUGCAGACGAGGAAGACGAUGAGGGAGAUGGGCUGCCAGAGGAGGGAGAGGAAGACGACGACGAGGACGACGAUGGCGUAGUUCAUGGCGAAGUGGGCGAGGUUGGCGCGCACGCGCAGGUAGGCGUCGCCGAGGCUCGGGGGCAGCCCGACGGCGUGCACGUCCGCGAGCUCGCGCCAUGGCCGGCGCGUGGCCAGCGCCGUCGCGCCGCGGGCCUUGGCGCGGGAGAUGAAGUCGAGCGGGGAGGCGCCGCCGAGGUGGGGCGCCCCCGCGGCGGCGGAGGAGGAGGUGGGGAUGGUGCCGUACUUGGACAUGGUCGCCGGCGGCGAGGGGCGGACCGCGGGGGGUCGGAUCCGAGAGGGGAAAGGGGACGGGGGAAGGGAGGAGACUCGAGAGGGAUCGGGCAAGGGCGAUGGGAUUAA